rnacentral:rRNA from 1 species
AUUGAACGCUGGCGGCAGGCCUAACACAUGCAAGUCGAACGAGAGGCGGACGGGUGAGUAAUGUCUGGGAAAGUGCCUGAUGGAGGGGGAUAACUACUGGAAACGGUAGCUAAUACCGCAUACCAUCAGAUGUGCCCAGAUGGGAUUGGCUUGGUGGUGGGGUAACGGCACACAAAGGAGACGAUCCCUAGCUGGGCGGAGAGGAUGACCAGCCACACUGGAACGGAGCCACGGUCCAGGCUCCUAAGGGAGGGACCAGUGGGGAAUAUUGCACAAUGGGCGCAAGCCUGAUGCAGCCAUGCCGCGUGUAUGAAGAAGGCCUGCGGGUUGUAAAGUACUUUCAGCGGGGAGGCGUUAGCCGCAGAAGAAGCACCGGCUAACUCCGUGCCAGCAGCCGCGGUAAUAC